AUUGAACGCUGGCGGAAUGCUUUACACAUGCAAGUCGAACGGUAGAGGGGGCAACCCCUCGAGAGUGGCGAACGGGUGAGUAAUAUAUCGGAACGUGCCCAGUCGUGGGGGAUAACGUAGCGAAAGUUACGCUAAUACCGCAUACGAUCUACGGAUGAAAGCGGGGGACUCGUAAGAGCCUCGCGCGAUUGGAGCGGCCGAUGGCAGAUUAGGUAGUUGGUGGGAUAAAAGCUUACCAAGCCGACGAUCUGUAGCUGGUCUGAGAGGACGACCAGCCACACUGGGACUGAGACACGGCCCAGACUCCUACGGGAGGCAGCAGUGGGGAAUUUUGGACAAUGGGCGAAAGCCUGAUCCAGCCAUGCCGCGUGCAGGAUGAAGGCCUU
rnacentral:rRNA from 1 species